AAGGGUUUAGGGGUGGAUUAUUAGGUUGUUUAAGAGAGCAACUAAUGAAGAAAUAUUUAGCUGGAUUGAUGCAAAUAUUGGAAAAGAUGUUAAGAGCAGCAAAUUCAUACGUGCCUUGGUGACCGCCUUAGUGGAAAGUCAAGCUAUGACUUCCAAUGAUGGUUCCUCAAUCCGUG